rnacentral:rRNA from 1 species
GAUGAACGCUGGCGGCGUGCCUAAUACAUGCAAGUCGAGCGAACAGACGAGGAGCUUGCUCCUCUGACGUUAGCGGCGGACGUGUGAGUCACACGUGGAUAACCUACCUAUAAGACUGGGAUAACUUCGGGAAACCGGAGCUAAUACCGGAUAAUAUCUUGAACCGCAUGGUUCAAUAGUGAAAGACGGUUUUGCUGUCUCUUCUCGCUGGAUCCGGGCCGCUUGAGCUAGUUGGUAAGGUCAAGGCUUACCAAGGCAACGAUGCGUAGCCGAACUGAGAGGGUGAUCGGCCACACUGGAACUGAGACACGGUCCAGACGCCUACGGGAGGCAGCAGUAGGGAAUCGUCCGCAAUGGGCGAAAGCCUGACGGAGCAGCGCCGCGUGAGUGAUGAAGGUCUUCGGAUCGUAAAACUCUGUUAUUAGGGAAGAACAAAUGUGUAAGUAACUAUGCACGUCUUGACGGUACCUAAUCAGAAAGCCACGGCUAACUACGUG